rnacentral:rRNA from 1 species
UGGGGAAUUUUGGACAAUGGGGGAAACCCUGAUCCAGCCAUCCCGCGUGUGCGAUGAAGGCCUUCGGGUUGUAAAGCACUUUUGGCAGGAAAGAAACGUCAUGGGUUAAUACCCCGUGAAACUGACGGUACCUGCAGAAUAAGCACCGGCUAACUACGUGCCAGCAGCCGCGGUAAUACGUAGGGUGCAAGCGUUAAUCGGAAUUACUGGGCGUAAAGCGUGCGCAGGCGGUUCGGAAAGAAAGAUGUGAAAUCCCAGAGCUCAACUUUGGAACUGCAUUUUUAACUACAGGGCUUGAGUGUGUCAGAGGGAGGUGGAAUUCCGCGUGUAGCAGUGAAAUGCGUAGGUAUGCGGAGGAACACCGGUGGCGAAGGCAGCCUCCUGGGAUAACAAUGACGCUCAUGCACGAAAGCGUGGGGAGCAAACAGG